rnacentral:rRNA from 1 species
UACGUAGGUGACCAGCGUUGUCCGGAUUUACUGGGCGUAAAGAGCGCGCAGGCGGCCGAUCAAGUCGAGCGUGAAAGCCCCCGGCUCAACUGGGGAGGGUCAUUCGAUACUGAUCGACUCGAAGGCAGGAGAGGGUAGUGGAAUUCCCGGUGUAGUGGUGAAAUGCGUAGAUAUCGGGAGGAACACCAGUGGCGAAGGCGACUACCUGGCCUGUUCUUGACGCUGAGGCGCGAAAGCUAGGGGAGCAAACGGG